rnacentral:rRNA from 1 species
ACCAAAUAGAUACCCGGGUAGUCCACGCCCUAAACGAUGCGAACUGGAUGUUGGGUACAUUACGGUACUCAGUGUCGAAAGCUAAACGCGUUAAGUUCGCCGCCUGGGGAGUACGGUCGCAAGACUGAAACUCAAAGGAAUUGACGGGGCCCGGCACAAGCGGUGGAGUAUGUGGUUUAAUUACGAUGCAACGACGAAGAAACCUUACCUUGGCCGUUGACAUCUGUCGAAUCCUGCAGAGAUGCGGGAGUGCCGCAAGGAACGACAAGACAGGUGCUGCAUGGCUGUCGUCAGCUCGUGUCGUGAGAUGUUGGGUUAAGUCCCGCAACGAGCGCAACCCUUGUCCCUACGUUGCCACGCACGUAAUGGUGGGAACGUCUAGGGAGACUGCCGGUGACAAACCGGAGGAAGGUGGGGAUGACGUCAAGUCCUCAUGGCCCUUA